GACGUAGGGCGCGAGCGUUGUCCGGAUUUAUUGGGCGUAAAGAGCUCGUAGGCGGCUCGUUGCGUCGGCUGUGAAAACCCGCAGCUCAACUGUGGGCUUGCAGCUGAUACGGGCGGGCUGGGAUUCGGUAGGGGAGACUGGAAUUCCUGGUGUAGCGGUGAAAUGCGCAGAUAUCAGGAGGAACACCGGUGGCGAAGGCGGUCCCCUGGGCUGACACUGACGCUGAGGCGCGAAAGCGUGGGGAGCGAACGGG
rnacentral:rRNA from 1 species